GGACUACUAGGGUUUCUAAUCCUGUUUGAUCCCCACGCUUUCGUGCCUCAGUGUCAGUUGUAGUUUUGUAAGCUGCCUUCGCAAUGGGUGUUCUGUGUCAUAUCUAAGCAUUUCACCGCUACAUGACACAUUCCACUUACAUCAAAUACACUCAAGAACAACAGUAUCAAUGGCAGUUCUAUAGUUAAGCUAUAGGUUUUCACCACUGACUUGUCAUUCCACCUACGCACCCUUUAAACCCAGUAAAUCCGGAUAACGCUUGGAUCCUCCGUAUUACCGCGGCGGCUGGCAC
rnacentral:rRNA from 2 species